GACGAACGCUGGCGGCGUGCCUAAUACAUACAAGUAGAACGCUGAAGGAGGAGCUUGCUUCUCUGGAUGAGUUGCGAACGGGUGAGUAACGCGUAGGUAACCUGCCUGGUAGCGGGGGAUAACUAUUGGAAACGAUAGCUAAUACCGCAUAAGAGUAGAUGUUGCAUGACAUUUGCUUAAAAGGUGCAAUUGCAUCACUACCAGAUGGACCUGCGUUGUAUUAGCUAGUUGGUGGGGUAACGGCUCACCAAGGCGACGAUACAUAGCCGACCUGAGAGGGUGAUCGGCCACACUGGGACUGAGACACGGCCCAGACUCCUACGGGAGGCAGCAGUAGGGAAUCUUCGGCAAUGGACGGAAGUCUGACCGAGCAACGCCGCGUGAGUGAAGAAGGUUUUCGGAUCGUAAAGCUCUGUUGUAAGAGAAGAACGAGUGUGAGAGUGGAAAGUUCACACUGUGACGGUAUCUUACCAGAAAGGGACGGCUAACUACGUG
rnacentral:rRNA from 1 species